rnacentral:sRNA from 1 species
AUCAUCCACAAACAAGUCGUGUUAAAGCGACUUAUCCUGUCAUGUAUACAUUUCCCUGAAAUAGCCUGGCUUAAAGGGAUGCGACCCGAGCCACUCAGCCGUCGAAAAGUAAUUGUAACCCGAUCCUGUGUCGCUGGAUGUACAUAAAUACCAGUUCCAGUUUCCGCCGAUCGAGCCCAAGUUCAUUGGGAGCACGGAGUGUGGAAUG